GAGAGGCCAUAGUGCAGACUGAGCCGUCCGCAGUGACAGUCGGGCGCCCCCUCCCUUGGGCAGCCCUUCUCUGCUCUACCACUGCACUUGCUGGUUGUUUCAGAGGACUCCACAGCAAGCAAAACUUCCUUGCCUGUCCAGACCAGGAAAUACCAGAGUGGGUGCCAUGAUAGGGUGUGGCCCAGGGGCCUGAGGGGCCGAGGGGCCCGAGGGGCCAGGCCCUGGGGGGGGCAGGGGAGGCCUCAAUGGCCCUGCUGCCUGAGAGCCACCUGGCAUGCACAGGCCAGGAAUGCAGGGGAGAGAGCAGGUCUGGCUGCUGGUUAGAUCAACACGGGGACAGGCAGCUGACUCACCUGGGCACGCCAGGACCUGUCAGUUCUGUCCUCACCCCACCCUGCAGGGAGCACCAAGGUUGCCUGAGGGAGGUAGGAGGCUGGGCCCUGCUGGGAACUUGCUGUGUGUCCCUGAGACAAGUCGCCCAGCCCUUCUGAACCACCUAGUUCUGGUGAGCUUGAUAGGACAGGGAGCCAGAGGCCUGGGUCUGAGCCCGGCACAUGCUCUACAAGUAGCGUCUGGGCCCUCCAGUUCCCUCCUGGGCCUCAGUUUCUCCAUAUGUACCUCAUGUGCAGCCUACCACUGAGGAACCUUGCACCAGGGUGGAGGGCGAGGGUAAGGAGGCCAUGCUCUUGACCAGAGCCGGAUGGGUUGGGGUGUGACAGGGGUUCGAGUAGGGAUGACUCCUGCUGGGUCCCUCCAGGUGUUAUGGCUUAGCACUUCCCCCAACCCCCAAACACACUCAUGCCUGGUCUGCUCCCUGCUCUCACACUCUUGGUUGCCUCCAGGAUGAAGCCCCAAGUUCUUCACCCAAGGAACAGGGGCCCCUGGGCACCACCAGGCCAGAUCCCCAACCAUGCACCGUCUCAUCAGCCAUGUGGAACUUCUGGCCUUUCCUCUGGGCAAUGUGCCUCCCGUCCCUGGGGGUAGACAUCUCAUUUGGGACCACGGAUCUAGAAGGUUCCUAGAGUCGCGUCUGUUAGCAGCCUGGGUCUGUAAGACUCAUCCUGAGGGUCCCAGGCUGCUUUGAACUGGGAGGGAGGCUGAGGACCAGGUCUCCACAUCCAGAGCAGCUCCCCCCACCAGUUUAUCCUUUCUAAGGAGGACUUACAGAGUCCUGUGGAGCAGCUGAGGUGCGGACCAUGGGUGCAGGCAGGGGUGGGGUAGCUGCCAGCCCUGCGGGGGGAGAGACGGAGGAAGUCUGAAGUGGGGAGGGACAGAGCUCCAUGUCCUAGGUGCCGUGUGACUGGGGUGGGCUCCAGGUCAGUGUGAGUGUGGGGGGUGCUUGGUAUUCAGGACCUCCCGAAUAGCCUCGAGCUAUUGAUGCUUGCCCUGUGACACUCGCCCUCACCUGGUUCCUAGUACACACCCCGUCCAGGCUGCACCCUCUUCCUCUACCUUCAGCCAGUGGCCUCACCUCUCAGUUCAGACCCCAAUGGACUGGCUGCCAACUGAGGAUGGAAAGAUCAUCCCCAAAGGGCCUUUCUGUUCCAUCCAUUUCUGGAGAUAAUGGGGAAGAGUCAGGUGGACCACAUUUGCUGUACCCUCUGGCUCCUCGGCUGGGCUUCCCCGGUCUGCCCGAGUUCACCUGGAGCUAACUGCUUCGCUGUCCCAUGUUGGGGGGGGGGGUACCGGUACUGCUGCAGGGACCCACAGAGAGCAGGCCACAGCUGGGUGUCUAGCUGCUUCCCUUUCCUGCCUGUCCCUCCCAAGGCCUCGCCCUCCUAAAGCAGCAGCAGGAAAGGUGGGGCAGGAAUGCCUGGGCCUGGGCCCUUGGCCAGACCUCUGAGCACCCGCCCCACUGCCCCAGAGCCGGUUCCCUGGGAGUUGUAGACUUUGCCAGGGGCCUGGAAUGACCUCUGAUGCCAUUGGGGCUGGGUUGGGAGGAAUGAGACCCCUUGUUGUUUGCCUCUGUCGCCUGCCCAUUCCAGCGGCUUCGAUUAUAUCUCCCACCCUACCCAGGUCAGCUAACUGCAGAGCCUCAGAGUGUCAGAGCCAGGGACAGGCAGUCUGAGGCUCUAGGGCUAAGAGACCCUCUAACUCUCAGCCCUGAGACUGGGCCUGGGCCCUGUUCACAGGCCCCGAGUGCGGUGCCCUGGCCAUGUGCAGCCCUGAGGAGGAGGCCCUGCUGCGGCUGGAGGAGGUCUUCUCGGCUACGCUCGCCCGCAUCAACAGCCUUGUCCUCCAGCCCCUGCUCGAAACCACCCCAGAGCCCUCGGACCCCCGGGGCAGAGAGCACCUGCGGCUCUUGCAGCAGCUGCACCAGAGCUCCCAGCAGCUCUGGGAAGUGACAGAGGAGAGCCUACACUCGCUGCGGGAGAGGCUGUGCCAUCAGGACUCCGUGGGUCUGGAAUCCCUGCUGUUGCUGUGUGGUGCCGACCGUGUCCUGCAGGUCCACGUGGAGUACAUCGAGUCCUACACCAGGUGCCUGGUGGUACAGGUCUUUCAGAAGGCAGCAAAGAAGAAGAGGGAAUACUGGCGACGCCAGAGGAAGGCACUGUGGCAGCUCCUGUCGGGCGUGAGCUCAGAGGCCUCUGUGGGCACAGCGCUGGCCCAGGCCCUCUGCCAGCCGCUUGCCCAUCACGUGCAGCAGUACGUGUUCCUCCUGCUGAGCCUCGGGGACACCAUCGGGGAGCAUCACCCCACUCGGGAGCUGGUGGUACACGCAGCCACUGUCUUUGGGAGCCUACAGUCCUUCAUGAGGCAGGCGCUGGACCAGGCCAUGGCCACGCAGGCCCUCUGGCACACCCUGAGCAGCCGGCUGAGAGAUGUGCUCUGCACCCCUGCUCGCCGACUCCUUCAGGACAGCCAGGACAUACCCGUGAUGGUCACCCCGCUGCGGGCAGAGCGUGUGCUGCUCUUCGAUGAUGCCCUCAUCUUGCUACAGGGCCACAAUGUCCACAUCUUUGAUCUGAAGCUGGUGUGGAUAGAUCCUGGGCAGGACGGGUGCAUGUUUCACCUCCUCACACCCGAGGAAGAGCUCUCCUUUUGCUCCAAGGACACUCAGGACCGGACGGUCUGGCAGUGGAAGAUGACUCAGGCUGUGUGCCAGGCCCUACGCGGAAAGAAGGACUUCCCGGUGCUGGGGGCAGGCCUGGAGCCCUCCGAACCCCCCACCUGCCGCUGCGUGGCGUAUACCUUCCGCGCGGAGGGCCGGCUCUGCCAGGCCACCUACGAGGGCGAGUGGUAUCGGGGCAGGCCCCAUGGCAAGGGUACCCUGAAGUGGCCGGAUGGACGGAAUCACGUGGGGAAUUUCUGCCAGGGCCUGGAGCAUGGCUUCGGCAUCCGCCUGAUACCCCAGGCCUCUGAGGACACGUUUGACUGCUACAAGUGCCACUGGCGGGAAGGCAGCAUGUGUGGCUAUGGCAUCUGUGAGUACAGCACCGACGAGGUAUACAGAGGCUACUUCCAGGCGGGCCUGCGGCAUGGAUUUGGGGUCCUUGAGAGCGCCCCCCAGGCCCUGCAGCCUUGCAAGUACACCGGCCACUGGGAGAGGGGUCAGCGGAGUGGCUAUGGCAUCGAGGAGGACAGUGACAGGGGUGAGCGCUAUAUUGGCAUGUGGCAGGCCGACCAGCGCCAUGGCCCAGGGGUCAUGGUCACCCAGGCUGGUGUCUGCUACCAGGGGACCUUCCAGGCAGACAAGAUGGUGGGUCCAGGCGUCCUCCUCUCUGAAGAUGACUCCUUGUAUGAGGGCACCUUCACCAGGGACCUGACCCUUGUGGGGAAGGGCAAGGUCACCUUCCCCAAUGGCUUCACCCUGGAGGGUUCUUUUGGCAGCGGGACAGGGAAAGGGCUGCAUACCCAAGGCAUGCUGGACACGGCUGCCUUCCCGCCAGAUCCAAGCAGCACCCGUAAGAGGCAGCUAGGUGUGGGUGCCUUCCCGGUGGAGAGCCGCUGGCAGGGCGUCUAUGGCCCCUUCCGGGACUUCGUCAGUGCCGGCUGCCCUGGGGACCAGCAGGAGGCCCUACUGGGCUUCCACGUGCAGAACGCAAGGGAGCUGCGCAAGUCCCAGGAAUACCUGUGCUGUGAGAGGACCCAGCCCGAGGCCUGUGCGGGCAGAAUGGAAGACGUCCUGGAUGAGCUGCUGCAGCACCGGGAGCCCAGGGCGCUGCGGGAGUGCCUCAGGAAGGCCCUGGGCAACUCGCUGCACCCUCUGGGAAAGCUGCUCCGGACGCUGAUGCUAACCUUUCAGGCCACGUAUGCCGGCAUUGGGGCCAACAAGCACCUACAGGCGCUGGCCCAGGAGGAGGUGAAGCAGCAUGCCCGGGAGCUCUGGGCCGCCUACAGGGGUCUGCUGCAGGUGGCCUUACAGCGCAAGGGCCAAGCUCCGGAGGAGGACGAGGAUACAGAGACAAGGUGUGCAGAAGUUGAGCCUUUGCCCCGGACACCUUCCCCCCUACAUGCAGACGAGGAAACUGAGGCCUGGCAGGGGCUGAGCCUGAGGUCACAUAGAGUGAGAGUCAAGGACCUGCAGGUGCACGGACUGGUACUGCCUCUUAUGCUGCCCAGCUUCUACUCGGAGCUCUUCACUCUCUACCUGCUUCUUCACGAGAGGGAGGAUGGUCUGUACAGCCAGGGCAUUGCCAGCCUGAGCCUCUUCCCCGACACCAAGCUGCUCAAGUUCCUGGACGUACAGAAGCACCUGUGGCCCCUCAAGGACCUCACAUUGACCACCAAUCAGGUGAGAAGAGACUCUCCCUGGUCAGGGACAAGUGCUUCCUGUCAGCCACGGAGUGUCUGCAGAAGAUCAUCACCACAGUGGACCCCCGGGAGAAGCUGGAGGUGCUAGAGAAGACAUACGGGGAAAUUGAGGCCACUGUGUCGCGUGUGCUGGGCCAGGAGCACAAGCUGCCCAUGGAUGACCUGCUGCCGCUGCUCAUCUAUGUGGUGUCACGUGCCCGAAUCCAGCACCUGGGAGCCGAGAUCCACCUGAUUCGGGACAUGAUGGACCCCAUCCACACGGGAGGCCUGUAUGACUUCUUGCUCACGGCCCUGGAG